AUACGUAGGGUCCGAGCGUUGUCCGGAAUUAUUGGGCGUAAAGAGCUCGUAGGCGGUUUGUCGCGUCUGCUGUGAAAUCCCGAGGCUCAACCUCGGGUCUGCAGUGGGUACGGGCAGACUGGAGUGCGGUAGGGGAGAAUGGAAUUCCUGGUGUAGCGGUGGAAUGCGCAGAUAUCAGGAGGAACACCGAUGGCGAAGGCAGUUCUCUGGGCCGUAACUGACGCUGAGGAGCGAAAGCGUGGGGAGCGAACAGGAUUAGAUACCCUGGUAGUCCACGCCGUAAACGUUGGGCGCUAGAUGUGGGGACCUUUCCACGGUUUCCGUGUCGUAGCUAACGCAUUAAGCGCCCCGCCUGGGGAGUACGGCCGCAAGGCUAAA
rnacentral:rRNA from 1 species